rnacentral:rRNA from 1 species
AGAGUUUGAUCCUGGCUCAGGAUGAACGCUAGCUACAGGCUUAACACAUGCAAGUCGAGGGGCAGCAUGAACUUAGCUUGCUAAGUUUGAUGGCGACCGGCGCACGGGUGAGUAACACGUAUCCAACCUGCCGAUGACUCGGGGAUAGCCUUUCGAAAGAAAGAUUAAUACCCGAUGGCAUAGUUCUUCCGCAUGGUAGAACUAUUAAAGAAUUUCGGUCAUCGAUGGGGAUGCGUUCCAUUAGGUUGUUGGCGGGGUAACGGCCCACCAAGCCUUCGAUGGAUAGGGGUUCUGAGAGGAAGGUCCCCCACAUUGGAACUGAGACACGGUCCAAACUCCUACGGGAGGCAGCAGUGAGGAAUAUUGGUCAAUGGGCGCGAGCCUGAACCAGCCAAGUAGCGUGAAGGAUGAAGGCUCUAUGGGUCGUAAACUUCUUUUAUAUGGGAAUAAAGUUUUCCACGUGUGGAAUUUUGUAUGUACCAUAUGAAUAAGGAUCGGCUAACUCCGUGCCAGCAGCCGCGGUAAUACGGAGGAUCCGAGCGUUAUCCGGAUUUAUUGGGUUUAAAGGGAGCGUAGGUGGAUUGUUAAGUCAGUUGUGAAAGUUUGCGGCUCAACCGUAAAAUUGCAGUUGAAACUGGCAGUCUUGAGUACAGUAGAGGUGGGCGGAAUUCGUGGUGUAGCGGUGAAAUGCUUAGAUAUCACGAAGAACUCAGAUUGCGAAGGCAGCUCACUAGACUGUCACUGACACUGAUGCUCGAAAGUGUGGGUAUCAAACAGGAUUAGAUACCCUGGUAGUCCACACAGUAAACGAUGAAUACUCGCUGUUUGCGAUAUACAGUAAGCGGCCAAGCGAAAGCAUUAAGUAUUCCACCUGGGGAGUACGCUGGCAACGGUGAAACUCAAAGGAAUUGACGGGGGCCCGCACAAGCGGAGGAACAUGUGGUUUAAUUCGAUGAUACGCGAGGAACCUUACCCGGGCUUAAAUUGCAACAGAAUAUAUUGGAAACAGUAUAGCCGUAAGGCUGUUGUGAAGGUGCUGCAUGGUUGUCGUCAGCUCGUGCCGUGAGGUGUCGGCUUAAGUGCCAUAACGAGCGCAACCCUUAUCUUUAGUUACUAACAGGUUAUGCUGAGGACUCUAGAGAGACUGCCGUCGUAAGAUGUGAGGAAGGUGGGGAUGACGUCAAAUCAGCACGGCCCUUACGUCCGGGGCUACACACGUGUUACAAUGGGGGGUACAGAAGGCGGCUACCUGGUGACAGGAUGCUAAUCCCAAAAACCUCUCUCAGUUCGGAUCGAAGUCUGCAACCCGACUUCGUGAAGCUGGAUUCGCUAGUAAUCGCGCAUCAGCCAUGGCGCGGUGAAUACGUUCCCGGGCCUUGUACUCACCGCCCGUCAAG